CCUACAUGAAGCUGGAGUUACUAGUAAUCGCAGAUCAGAAUGCUGCGGUGAAUGCGUUCCCGGGUCUUGUACACACCGCCCGUCACACCACGGAAGUUGGGGCGCCCGAAGCCACUUAGCUAACCCUUUUGGGAAGCGAGUGUCGAAGGUGAAAUCAAUAACUGGGGUGAAGUCGUAACAAGGUAAC
rnacentral:rRNA from 1 species